rnacentral:piRNA from 1 species
UCCUGUGGUCAAAGGCAUCGUUUCUGU